UUUUCAUCAGACAAUCUGUGUGAGCACUGCAAAGUACGCUUCUUUAAGGUAAGGAGGUGAUCCAACCGCAGGUUCCCCUACGGUUACCUUGUUACGACUUCACCCCAGUCAUGAAUCACAAAGUGGUAAGCGCCCUCCCGAAGGUUAAGCUACCUACUUCUUUUGCAACCCACUCCCAUGGUGUGACGGGCGGUGUGUACAAGGCCCGGGAACGUAUUCACCGUGGCAUUCUGAUCCACGAUUACUAGCGAUUCCGACUUCAUGGAGUCGAGUUGCAGACUCCAAUCCGGACUACGACGCACUUUAUGAGGUCCGCUUGCUCUCGCGAGGUCGCUUCUCUUUGUAUGCGCCAUUGUAGCACGUGUGUAGCCCUGGUCGUAAGGGCCAUGAUGACUUGACGUCAUCCCCACCUUCCUCCAGUUUAUCACUGGCAGUCUCCUUUGAGUUCCCGGCCGGACCGCUGGCAACAAAGGAUAAGGGUUGCGCUCGUUGCGGGACUUAACCCAACAUUUCACAACACGAGCUGACGACAGCCAUGCAGCACCUGUCUCACGGUUCCCGAAGGCACAUUCUCAUCUCUGAAAACUUCCGUGGAUGUCAAGACCAGGUAAGGUUCUUCGCGUUGCAUCGAAUUAAACCACAUGCUCCACCGCUUGUGCGGGCCCCCGUCAAUUCAUUUGAGUUUUAACCUUGCGGCCGUACUCCCCAGGCGGUCUACUUAACGCGUUAGCUCCGGAAGCCACGCCUCAAGGGCACAACCUCCAAGUAGACAUCGUUUACGGCGUGGACUACCAGGGUAUCUAAUCCUGUUUGCUCCCCACGCUUUCGCACCUGAGCGUCAGUCUUUGUCCAGGGGGCCGCCUUCGCCACCGGUAUUCCUCCAGAUCUCUACGCAUUUCACCGCUACNNNNNNNNNNNNNNNNNNNNCUGCCAGUUUCGAAUGCAGUUCCCAGGUUGAGCCCGGGGAUUUCACAUCCGACUUGACAGACCGCCUGCGUGCGCUUUACGCCCAGUAAUUCCGAUUAACGCUUGCACCCUCCGUAUUACCGCGGCUGCUGGCACGGAGUUAGCCGGUGCUUCUUCUGCGGGUAACGUCAAUUGCUGCGGUUAUUAACCACAACACCUUCCUCCCCGCUGAAAGUACUUUACAACCCGAAGGCCUUCUUCAUACACGCGGCAUGGCUGCAUCAGGCUUGCGCCCAUUGUGCAAUAUUCCCCACUGCUGCCUCCCGUAGGAGUCUGGACCGUGUCUCAGUUCCAGUGUGGCUGGUCAUCCUCUCAGACCAGCUAGGGAUCGUCGCCUUGGUGAGCCGUUACCUCACCAACAAGCUAAUCCCAUCUGGGCACAUCUGAUGGCAAGAGGCCCGAAGGUCCCCCUCUUUGGUCUUGCGACGUUAUGCGGUAUUAGCCACCGUUUCCAGUAGUUAUCCCCCUCCAUCAGGCAGUUUCCCAGACAUUACUCACCCGUCCGCCACUCGUCAGCAAAGCAGCAAGCUGCUUCCUGUUACCGUUCGACUUGCAUGUGUUAGGCCUGCCGCCAGCGUUCAAUCUGAGCCAUGAUCAAACUCUUCAAUUUAAAAGUUUGAUGCUCAAUGAAUUAAACUUCGUAAUGAAUUACGUGUUCACUCUUGAGACUUGGUAUUCAUUUUUCGU
rnacentral:rRNA from 1 species